rnacentral:rRNA from 1 species
UGGGGAAUAUUGCACAAUGGGGGAAACCCUGAUGCAGCGACGCCGCGUGAACGAAGAAGGUAUUCGUAUCGUAAAGUUCUGUCCUAUGGGAAGAUAAUGACAGUACCAUAGAAGAAAGCUCCGGCUAAAUACGUGCCAGCAGCCGCGGUAAUACGUAUGGAGCGAGCGUUGUCCGGAAUCAUUGGGCGUAAAGGGUACGUAGGCGGGUAAGCAAGUUAGAAGUGAAAUCCUGUAGCUCAACUACAGUAAGCUUUUAAAACUGCUCAUCUUGAGAUAUGGAAGGGAAAGUGGAAUUCCUAGUGUAGCGGUGAAAUGCGCAGAUAUUAGGAGGAAUACCGGUGGCGAAGGCGACUUUCUGGCCAUAAUCUGACGCUGAGGUACGAAAGCGUGGGUAGCAAACAGG